GGAAUAUUGCACAAUGGGGGAAACCCUGAUGCAGCGACGCCGCGUGAGCGAUGAAGAAUUUCGGUAUGUAAAGUUUUAUUAGCAGGGAAGAAAAUGACGGUACCUGACUAAGAAGCCCCGGCUAACUUGGCGCCAGCAGCCGCGGUAAUACGUAGGGGGCAAGCGUUAUCCGGAUUUACUGGGUGUAAAGGGAGCGUAGACGGCAUGGCAAGCCAGAUGUGAAAGCCCGGGGCUCAACCCCGGGACUGCAUUUGGAACUGUCAGGCUAGAGUGUCGGAGAGGAAAGCGGAAUUCCUAGUGUAGCGGUGAAAUGCGUAGAUAUUAGGAGGAACACCAGUGGCGAAGGCGGCUUUCUGGACGAUGACUGACGUUGAGGCUCGAAAGCGUGGGGAGCAAACA
rnacentral:rRNA from 1 species